rnacentral:rRNA from 1 species
UGGGGAAUAUUGCACAAUGGGCGCAAGCCUGAUGCAGCCAUGCCGCGUGUGUGAAGAAGGCCUUCGGGUUGUAAAGCACUUUCAGCGAGGAGGAAGGGUUCAGUGUUAAUAGCACUGUUCAUUGACGUUACUCGCAGAAGAAGCACCGGCUAACUCCGUGCCAGCAGCCGCGGUAAUACGGAGGGUGCAAGCGUUAAUCGGAAUUACUGGGCGUAAAGCGCACGCAGGCGGUUUGUUAAGUCAGAUGUGAAAUCCCCGCGCUUAACGUGGGAACUGCAUUGAAACUGGCAAGCUAGAGUCUUGUAGAGGGGGGUGAGAAUUCCAGGUGUAGCGGUGAAAUGCGUAGAGAUCUGGAGGAAUACCGGUGGCGAAGGCGGCCCCCUGGACAAAGACUGACGCUCAGGUGCGAAAGCGU